CGUCUAUAUACGUAUAGCAUAUCAAUAAGCGGAGGAAAAGAAACUAACUAGGAUUCCCUUAGUAACGGCGAGUGAAGCGGGAAGAGCUCAAAUUUGAAAUCUUCAAGGUUCUACCUUGACGAAUUGUAGUUUAAAGAAGUGUUUUCUGUUGGAGUUUUGGUAAAAGUUCUUUGGAAUAGGACAUCAUAGAGGGUGAGAAUCCCGUAUUUGACCAUUAUUUCCAGCUGCUGUGAUACACUUUCAAAGAGUCGGAUUGUUUGGGAAUGCAGGUCCAAAAUGGGUGGUAAAUUUCAUCUAAAGCUAAAUAUUGGCGAGAGACCGAUAGCGAACAAGUACCGUGAGGGAAAGAUGAAAAGAACUUUGAAAAGAGAGUUAAACAGUACGUGAAAUUGUCAAAAGGGAAGCGUUUGACACCAGUGUUGUUUUCUCGAAAAUCAAUUAAAAAUGACCGGAUUUUGUGUAGUAUUGACUUCAUCAGCUUUCUGCACUUUUCUUCUCAUAUUAUUGAUGCACUUUUCAGUUUAACAAGUCAACAUCAAUUUCUUUUGUUGUAAAAGGGUAAUAGGAAGGUGGCUUUCCUUUCGGCUGCAAGUGUUUAUAGCCUUUGAUCUCUGCAAUCGGAGAGAUUGAGGUCUGCAGCGUAGAUCCUUCGGGGUUAGAUACAUUUGUGCUAAGCUAUAGCCUUUUAUAGACAACAUUGUUGACUAUGCUCAGUCAUGUAGCUUACUCGCUUAUGCUAUUUUACCUACGCUUAGGAUGUUGACACACGCGCGUGCUCG
rnacentral:rRNA from 1 species